rnacentral:lncRNA from 1 species
CUUGGCAGACAGCAGCAGGCUGAAGAUCAGGACACCAGCAUCCUUGUCCUGAAGCUCCGGAAGGACAGACAAGCACUUUCGAGCCUUGGUUUCCACAUCUGUAAGUCAGGAGCUAGGAAAAAGCCCCUCCCUGUCUCCUGCAGGGUUGGGGUGCGGCUGCGAGGGCCUCUAGGGAAGCUCCACAUGCUGCCCAUGCAGAUCCCACUUGACUCUGUGUCCCAGAAGCCCCUCGGGUACUCUGUGAGUACCGGCUGGCUCACUCUACUGGGAACUCAAGAGUUCAGAAUUAAAGUGUUAAAAUAACUUGGUGUGGCCAUUGGAAGACGCAGGUUGCUUCCCAUGUAAAAUUCCACAGAUAAGCUUGUGCAAUAAAAAUGUCAGUGUGGGGAA